rnacentral:rRNA from 1 species
GACGAACGCUGGCGGCGUGCUUAACACAUGCAAGUGGAGCGACGAACCAGGGCUUGCCCUGGGGCAGAGCCGCGAACGGGUGAGUAACACGUGGGUAACGUGCCCCGAUGAUCGGGACAACCCGGGGAAACCCGGGCUAAUACCGAAUGUGCUCCCCUCACACCAGUGAGGGAUGGAAAGGAAGCUUCGGCCUCCGCAUCGGGAUCGGCCCGCGGCCCAUUAGCUUGUUGGUGAGGUAACGGCNCACCAAGGCUGCGAUGGGUAGCUGGUCUGAGAGGACGAUCAGCCACACUGGGACUGAGACACGGCCCAGACUCCUACGGGAGGCAGCAGUGGGGAAUCUUGCGCAAUGCGCGAAAGCGUGACGCAGCAACGCCGCGUGGGGGAAGACGG